rnacentral:rRNA from 1 species
UCAAACUGCCAACCUUCAUGUCAUUAACACUUGGAGAUCUCUGAAGCUAAGCAGGGCCGGGUCUGGUUAGUGCUUGGAUGGGAGACCGCUGUGAGUAGGUGCCGCAGUGAGGU